UACGUAGGGGGCUAGCGUUGUCCGGAAUCAUUGGGCGUAAAGAGCGUGUAGGCGGUCCGGUAAGUCCGCUGUGAAAGUCGGGGGGCUCAACCCUCGAAUGCCGGUGGAUACUGUCGGGCUAGAGUGCGGAAGAGGCGAGUGGAAUUCCUGGUGUAGCGGUGAAAUGCGCAGAUAUCAGGAGGAACACCGAUUGCGAAGGCAGCUCGCUGGGACGUAACUGACGCUGAGACGCGAAAGCUAGGGGAGCGAACGGG
rnacentral:rRNA from 1 species